AUCAGGGGUAAACCUGUGGAACUCGAAYGAGCGAACGGGGAGACUCAUCGUAUUUUCGGGGGUCCKCGGCGUGUAAUGGHGUUGYAGAUUCGUCUGCGAUGCRAUUGCAUGYYGUYGUGDCUCUCGGAGUGCGUGCACUUCUCCCUUAGUAAAACACUGCGACCCGUUGAGUAGCCGGUCGAACGCAUCGGCGGUUGUCCAGUCUUCUCCGGAAGAAUGAGCCGCGGUGUCGUGACUGGCUUUCGACGGUAACGAACGAGGUUCGCGUCCGCCUUUGGCGUUCGCAAUGCGGCGGCGUCUCUCCCUUCAGGUAUUCUUCGCGAAAGCGUCGUAAGCAUCUGUCGCGGUGGUGGCGUGCCUGUCGCAUUGCUCGAACGGGACGCGUCCCGGUCUGCGGUGGUUUUGUUUCGGGCACUCACCGGACCC
rnacentral:rRNA from 1 species